ensembl:rRNA 5S_rRNA 5S ribosomal RNA
ACUUACAGCCAUACCACCCUGAAUGUGCCUAAGCUUGGAAGCUAAGUGGGUCAGGCCUGGUUAGUACUUGGAUGGGAGUUACACUUUCUAUAUGAGUUUGCUAACAGAACUUGACACAAGAGCCUUUGUGAAGU